rnacentral:lncRNA from 1 species
CCCGGUUCUCUAAAUGUUGGUUUUGUAUUGAUUUUAAUUGAAUCAGACCAUUGGUAAACCAAAGCAUUAUAUAUAUCAUAUUUCUUAACCUAGCAAUCAAAAGAAAAUGGAAAGGAGAGUGCAUCGAGAACCGCCUCCAUUAAUCUCCAUCACGUCUUCUCCCUCUUCAUCACGUCUUCAAGUACACACUCCUAUUGUCCUUUCCUUCACGCCAGAGAAAGGAGUUCCUUGCGCCGUCAUCCUAGAUCGAUUCAGGAGACUUUAGCCUUUGAACCAAGGCUCUUUGGAUAGAUCUCAUUUCCAGGAAUCUGUAGCAGCAAACGGAAUCGAGAUCGGAGUUGUACAACAAAAGUUAUUGACGUUGCUUCCUGGCCAAGAAUAAACUUAAGCUGUUGUGGUGCAGAGACAGUUCCGACCAGUCCCAGCGUAAAGGCGAAACGGUCGACCAAAACAGAAGCUUUCAGUAUGGAAAUUUGUCAGUAAGUAGUUCACUCUUUUAUCUAUCAUCUCCAAGAAGCGGAUUGUCAUUCCGAGUUAUUUUCUGAAAGUUGUGUUUGUUCUCGCGAGAGGUAUUGCUGCAGUCUUCGUAUGCGACCAGCCUGCAGGUGAAGCCAUUUUGGUUGAUCAAAUGGUGGCCGAUCGGAGUAAACCCGGUGGCUACGGACAAGGGACAUAUAGGACUACAUUCUUACCGGAGGGAUUGAAAGUUUAACGGUCAGUUCUUGAGUUAUUCGUCUGUUUUCUCGAGGGUUCAGGUCUACCCAAAUCCUCACAUUCGUCUAUUUUCAGAAAGCUCCGGAGUUGUUAUUUUAGAGCCAGAAAAGUCCAUUCGGUGUUUCUCAGGUUUUUCUGAAGAACCCGUGGCAAAGGUGAGGGUCUUUUCCCGAGCUUCUCUUACACGGCUUAGGACCUCGAAUAAGUAUAAUUUAUUUCUAAUAUGUUUCCGUUUGCGUGAAAUUGAGUCUGUCAUUGUUUUGCUUAGUUUUAGGUUCUUUGCUUAACCGGAACUAGGGUGUUAGAUGAUUCAACAAUGUUUGUUCAUUUGUAAUUGAUAAUAUAUAUAUAUAUAUAUAUAUAGUAUAUUGAUGUGAUUUGGUUGAUAGCCGACUAUGGAUAUUUCGGCUGGAGACAGUACAUUGGGUGUGGUGUUUGCUGCGGCACAGCGUAGUUGACCUGUUGUGCCAAGGCGUGGAGGUCGAUAAAUCGUCUACGGGCGUGUGUUACCGAGCACAUAUUCGGUGGUGUUUUGGCCUGUUAGUGGGCAGCUUGUUUGAUCUCUGGGUACUUUAGCUACCGUGUUUUGCAACGUGUUAGGAUUAAAUUAUAUUUAUUCGGAGUGCUCUGUCCGGGUCCAUGGACUUCGGGUUUAGUAUCCCCAUACCUCACUGGGUAACUCACAUGUUACUCACCCCUCAUUUGCCCCCAUGCAGGUGAGACUGACGAGUAUAUGAUAUUUAGAUGGAUUGGUGCUACUGGGCUUUAUUUCGGAUUUUUAUUUGGGCUUAGGGUGAGUGGAGUCAUGUAUAUGGGUUAUUAUGCUAUGAGAUAUUGUUGGUGGCACGCUGUUCUCCAGAUAGGAGGUGACGGGUGUCACAAUUUGGUAUCAGAGCGGGGUUCCGUCCCGGCCUCGACCCGGGAUGGCGAUUAGGGGAUUCGGUUUUCUACGUUUUCUUUUUAAAGUAUAAAAUACUUUAUAUAUAUAUAUAUAUAAUAAAAAAAAUGUUUGCGAAGUUCUUUUAGCACCAUUUGAUCCAGUAAUUACUAACUCAAUUGUCUCUUUCUAUGACGAUGAGUAAAAUCAUCGUCAUUCAUCCUUCGACUAACAGGGUUCUACACAGAUGUUCAGCAGCAGAUGUGUGAUGUCUCAGUUCGUCAGUUGUCUCAGGAGUGUUAUCAGUUCCUUCGGUCAUGAUUCUGAGAUUAUCCAGGAGUGGAUAUGUGACGUUUCUGCUUCCACCCUCUUUCAAGCAAUCGUUCCACGAGUUUUUGUUACUGGAGAUUAUGUGGUGUGACGUAUGAGCCAUCGAUUGGCAUGUGUUGUUUUUGUGUACGAGUAUGUUGACUAUUUUGGAGGUAUGUUCAGUUUGUAAACUCGUGGGGAUCGCUUUUGGAUUGGGAGUGUGGCAACUUGUGUUGUAUUGAUAUUGGAGUUACGCUUGGUUUUGUUGUUAGUUUUUAGCAUUGUUGAUCGUUUGAGAGAUGUGUCAGUCAAACAACUGGCAUGGGACGUGGGAGGUAUUUAUAUUUAUCGCAGUGUACCAGCUAUGCUCGGAGGACUGAUUUGUUUGGGGACUCGUCAGGGAUGGAGCUACGCUUUUACGAUGUCAUCCUUGGGAUGGAUUGGAUGUCACCACAUAUUAUAGUGUUAGAUUUCCUAAGGGCAAGAGUUGAUAUUGCUGGAGAAAAUGAGAGUUUUUAUUGCAUGCAUGCUACAUGCUGAGGAGUUAUUGGAUAGAGAAGCAGAGGGAUUUUUGGCGAUCAUUUCAAUGGUUAAGAAUGUUGGACAGUAUGAGUUGUAGGAUCUUUUGGUUAUUGCAGAUUAUGAGGAUGUAAUAGUGGUCUUUGGAACGGACACCACCAGACACAAGAGACGUUCUUACGAUUGAUUUGGAAACAAGGACAUCACUGGUUUUACGAGUUCUAUACCAAUUAGCGGUAGCAGAGAUGACCGAACUGAAAGAGCAUAUGGAAAAUUCAUCAGACAUGGAUUUUAUCAUACCGAGUACUUCACCGUGGGGAGCAACAUUAUUGUUUGUGAAGAAGAAAAAUAAGGGUUUCAGAAUUUGUCUCGACUACAGUGGUUUGAACAAAGUGACCAUUAAGGAUAAGUAUCGUUUCUUUGUAUUGAUGAUUUGUUGUAUUAGCUGCAUGGAGGUUCAUGGUUCUCGACGUUUGUCUUAGCAUCGAGAUACCAUUAGAUGACUACAGCUGAGGAGUAUGUACAAUAGAUAUUAUGAAUUGUAGUGAUACCACCGUUAGUAUUCUUGAAGAUUAUGUAUGAUGUCUUUCGUGAACACUUGGAUAAGUGCGUGAUUGUAUUCAUCGAUGACACCCUAAUUUAUUCUCGGAGUAGAGAGGAGCAUGCUGAACAUUUAUGGAUUGUGUUAGGUAAGCCUGAGGAGAAGAAACUAUUUGCUAGAUGAGUGAGUGUAGUUUUAGCAAAGAAAAAAAAAUGGAUUUUUGAGUCAUGUGGUUUCAGAAGCAAGAGUUGCUGUCGAUUCAUUCAAAAAAAAAAAAAAAAAAAAAAAAAAAAAAAAAAAAAAAAAAAAAAAAACUACUACAAUUUCAUUGUGGCCGACACCAAAAAAAAAAAAGUACAGAGAGUUGAAGAAUUAUUAUCACUGCCUGGUAUGAAGAAGGAUGUAGCUACAUUGUGUCACCAUAUCAGACUUGUCAGAUGGUCAAAAUAAAAUAUCAGAUAUUAUCGAAUAAUUGCACAAUCUACUUCUUCCAGAUUGGAAAUGAGAUAUGUUGAUUAUGGGGUUUCUUAUUGGACUAUGGAAGUCAAGUUUCAUGAAGAUUAAUGUAUGAGCGAACAUGAACCGUCUCUCUAAGUUAGACUCAAGAGGGCAUCCUCAGGACUUGUGCUUAGCUCGCGGGAGAAAAAGAAAUUGAGGAAGAUUCAGCCACUGGAAUAAUUCAUGUACAACAACAAUUAUCACUUGGGCAUUCAGAUAUCACUUUAGGAGGCUCUUUACGGAAGAUCAUUCACACACAUCCUAGACCAAAGUUGGGAAGCACUAUGACGUAUAGCAACCAAUGGUUUAAAGGACAUUGAAGCAAAUAUAAAUGCUCAAUAACCACCUAAAGGAAGUUGAUGACUAAAAAAAAAAAAAAAUGCAGUUAAUACUGGAGAGACUUGGAAGUUCAGCUGGAUAAUUUAGUGUACCUAAAAAUAAAGACAUUUCAGAGAGGAUUUAAGACUCGGGAGCUAAAGGAAGCUUAAACCUAAAUAUAUGUGACCGUACCCCUUUGUGGAACAAUGGUUUAUAGAUGGCAGUUAUCAGCAAAGUUGUCAGAAUGCCAUGACGGGUUGGUAUUGAGGAAGGUCGUGAGAAAGUCAUAGUUUAUUUUAUAGCAGCCACGACGUGAUCUCGGUAAAAACAAAAAAAAAAAAAGAGAAAAAAAAAAUUGUUUACACCUAUUCAGUCAGUUGAGAUUUUGGAUUAACAAGAAAAAUCGGUUUAGGAAAUGAUGACCAUGUUCGUCAAGGUUUGUUAUGAGAGAAAGAAACAAGAUCUAGGAGGAGAUCCGGGAGACUGAGACUUAUAUGAUGAUUACUUAUCUACAACUUUCUCAAUAUGGUUUUGGACAACCAGCUCCGGCUUUGAAUUCGAGGACGAAUUCCUUAUAAGUAAGGGAGAAUUGUAACGACCCGGUUCUCUAAAUGUUGGUUUUGUAUUGAUUUUAAUUGAAUCAGACCAUUCGUAAGCCAAAGCAUUAUAUAUAUCAUAUUUCUUAACCUAGCAAUCAAAAGAAAAUGGAAAGGAGAGUGCAUCGAGAACCGCCUCCAUUAAUCUCCAUCACGUCUUCUCCCUCUUCAUCACGUCUUCAAGUACACACUCCUAUUGUCCUUUCCUUCACGCCAGAGAAAGGAGUUCCUUGCG